AGAGUUUGAUCAUGGCUCAGGACGAACGCUGGCGGCGUGCUUAACACAUGCAAGUGGAGCGACGAACCAGGCUUCGGCCUGGGGCAGAGCCGCGAACGGGUGAGUAACACGUGGGUAACCUGCCUCGAUGACUGGGACAACCCGGGGAAACCCGGGCUAAUACCGGAUGUGCUGCCUUCACAUCAGUGAGGGUUGGAAAGGAAGCUUCGGCCUCCGCAUCGAGAUGGGCCCGCGGCCCAUUAGCUUGUUGGUGAGGUAAAGGCUCACCAAGGCUGCGAUGGGUAGCUGGUCUGAGAGGACGAUCAGCCACACUGGGACUGAGACACGGCCCAGACUCCUACGGGAGGCAGCAGUGGGGAAUCUUGCGCAAUGCGCGAAAGCGUGACGCAGCAACGCCGCGUGGGGGAAGAAGGCCUUCGGGUUGUAAACCCCUUUCAGGAGGGACGAAGGUCGGGCGGUGAAUAGCCGACCCGACUGACGGUACCUCCAGAAGAAGCCCCGGCUAACUACGUGCCAGCAGCGGCGGUAAUAC
rnacentral:rRNA from 1 species